AAAAAAAAAACGAGUGAUGACCCUCAUCUCAUCUGCCCUGAACGGAGUGCUUCGUGCUCUCCCACACGGCGCCUCCGGGCUCUCCAACAGUCACCGCUCUUCGGUGCUCCACCAUCUCUCCCCGACAGUCAUCGCUCCUCCGCCGUCUAUCACUCAACCAUAACCCAGUGAGUGCAGCUGCCGUCAUGCUCAGUCACUCCAACGCUGUUGUCUAUACCGCGUCUCUGCUGCCGUCUUUGCCGUGUCGCUGCUGCCGUGCUGCCCUGCGUAAUGGGUUGCUCUGCAUCGACCAGUGUUUGAGGGAGAGAGUCUCGAGUGAUUUGAUCAUAAUAGGGUUUGCUUUUGAUUUUGAGGAGGGGCAAUGUUGUCAAUAAAAUUUAUAACUUGGGGUAUUGUUGCUUGAAAUUGUUGGUUUCAGAGAACUUAUCUCAGAUCCUUGGGUAUACCCAAGGAACCCAAUUCCAUCAAAUUUGAUGGAAGUGAGUUCCAAGUGAGAGUGAGAUCUGUCAUACCAAACAGCCCAAUUUUUAAAUUCCACUUCCA